GGGUCUAUAGUUUAGUGGAUAGAAUAACGGACUUCGGAUCCGUGGACGGGGGUUCGAUUCCUCCUAGACCCG
rnacentral:tRNA from 2 species